rnacentral:rRNA from 1 species
AAACGAUGUGGAAAUACGCAGACAACCAGGAUGUUGGCUCAGAAGCAGCCACUCAUUUAAAGAGUGCGUAAUAGCUCACUGGUCGAGAGACCCUGCGCCGAAGAUUACCGGGGCUAAAGUACGAAACCGAAGCUGUGGCUACGACUUAGGUCGUGGGGUAGGGGAGCGUUCUGUGAGGGCUGAAGUCGUUCUGUAAGGAACGGUGGACUUCACAGAAGUGAGAAUGUUGGUAUGAGUAGCGAAAAGAAUGGUGAGAAUCCAUUCCACCGAAAGCAUAAGGAUUCCUGGGCAACGAUCGUCGUCCCAGGGUAAGUCGGGACCUAAUCCGAGGCAUGGAGCGUAGGAGAUGGACAACUGGCAGAUAUUCCAGUACCGGUAAUGAUUGUUUGAGCGAUGGAGUGACACAGGAGGGCAGGCAGGCAGGAGAUUGGUUGUUCCUGUACAAGCGUGUAGGGUGGAACGUAGGCAAAUCCGCGUUCUGAGAGCCUGAGGCGUGAUGUGGAGGUUCCGGAAACGGAACUGAAGCUGCUGACCCCACACUGUCGAGAAAAGCUUCUAGUUAGAAAAUUACCGCCCGUACCGUAAACCGACACAGGUAUGCGGGGAGAGAAUCCUAAGGUGCGCGGGAGAACCCUCGUUAAGGAACUCGGCAAAAUGUACCCGUAACUUCGGGAUAAGGGUAGCCGCUGUUGUGAAGUCUGAACAGAUGGAGCAUGAGGCGGUCGCAGAGAAGAGGCCCAAGCGACUGUUUACCACAAACACAGGUGCCUGCUAAAGAGAAAUCUGACGUAUAGGUGCUGACACCUGCCCAGUGCCGGAAGGUUAAGGAAGGAUGUCCGGAGCAAUCCAAAGCAUUCGACCGAAGCCCCGGUGAACGGCGGCCGUAACUAUAACGGUCCUAAGGUAGCGAAAUUCCUUGUCGGGUAAGUUCCGACCCGCACGAAAGGUGUAACGAUUUGGGCACUGUCUCAACGAGGGACCCGGUGAAAUUGAAGUACCUGUGAAGAUGCAGGUUACCCGCGACUGGACAGAAAGACCCCAUGGAGCUUUACUGUAACCUGACAUUGGGUUCUGAUACAUCACGUACAGGAUAGGUGGGAGGCAUGGAAGCGAGGACGCUAGUCUUCGUGGAGCCGCCGUUGGGAUACCACCCUUGAUGUAUCGGAAUUCUAACCGUAGGAGUAACGAAACUCGGGACAGUGUCAGGCGGGCAGUUUGACUGGGGCGGUCGCCUCCCAAAGAGUAACGGAGGCGCCCAAAGGUACGCUCAGAUUGGAUGGAAACCAAUCGUCGAGUGCAAUUGCAGAAGCGUGCUUGACUGUGAGACUUACAAGUCGAACAGGGACGAAAGUCGGGAAUAGUGAUCCGGCGGUGCCGAAUGGAAGGGCCGUCGCUCAACGGAUAAAAGCUACCCUGGGGAUAACAGGCUGAUCUCCCCCAAGAGU